CCAAGCCUGAGAAUCUGAGAUGGUUGUUGAAGCUGAAGACGAGGGGCCUGCUGUGAGAGCUCUCGGAUCUCUGUUGAAGCUCACCCAAGUCUUUCUCUGGGACGAUGGCACAAGAAACGACAGGUCGUUUUCCCUGGGACAGACUAAACCAGCUCAGGAUGAAGGAGACGAUGGCUCAAACGCUCUUUCCUCAGAAUGUGGAACUUUGCCGGAGGAUAUGGAACUUACUAGACAGAUGAAUGAGUUGGGGCUUCCGGUCUCAUUUCGCACAAAUAAGGAGAAGCAGAAGAGAACAACUCAAGGAAAAAGAAAAGGAAUGCGCCAGAAGCAUUCGAACGAAUCUCAAGAAGUUGUGGGCGGAGCCUUGGACUCUUCCAAAGUGAGUGUGGAGGAGAUUGUAUCUCCUAUUAUAUUUGAUGAUAACCCAAGCAGUUCUUUGUGUUGUAUGUCAAUGAUGGGCCAAAGUGAAUCAUCUUCCUCUGAUGUUGCAGCUGAUGCCAAUAAUCCAGCAAGUUCAGCUAAGAUUACUGGUGAUUCGCGUGAUGGAAUAGUCGGCAUUUUUUCUAAUGAAGGCCAGGAUUGUGAUUCCUUACACAAUGGUGCCAUGCUCACUGAUGCAACAACAAUUUUAGCUAGUUCAACUGGGUUAGAUGCUGUACUUUACCCAGGCAGCUGCUCUGCAGAUGCUGCUAAUGGCCAUGAUAAGACAGAGCCAGGUGAAAGACUUAUGGAGCAUGACCACAUAGAGUGUGCAAUAAUGGCUACCAGUGAAGCAGAAAUAACCGAAAGUUGUGAGGAGCAUGUCCCUGAGCAGCCAUGUGUUUCUGAAUCAGUCUCAUGUUCCAUAUAUCCAGAAGGUCUUGAGAAUGAUGCAAUUGACAGCCAACAAAGUGGUGAUUUUGGAGACUGGAUGGUAUAUUGGGAUUCUUACUACAUGAGAAAUUACUUCUAUAAUAUUAGAACACAUACUUCAACAUGGUACCCACCCGUGGGCAUGGAACAUUUAGAAAAUGUUGAUAGCACAUAUAAGUCAAAUGAAGGUGUUGCUGGAGUAACUCAGAUGGAUGUUACCACAGACUUAAAGGCAACAGAUUUAUGUGUUUUGAGUAAGUUUGACUCAUUUGAAGAACCAAUCAAUGUUGAUGUUUUACAAUAUCAACGAUAUGAAGAGGUUUCAAGGGAUGUUGAAAUUACUGCUGCCAAUACUUUAUUGGAUACAUCCACUUCAACUGUCAGUGUAAGCAUAUGUCCUGAGCUUCCAGAUGAACUUAAUCAGAGCAAUAACAGGUGCAAUGAUGGAAAUGCAUCAUGCUUGUCAUCAAAUGUCCAGGACCACAUUGCUAGUUGCAGAAACCAAACCAUGGAGCAGGUUGCUGAUGAGGUCUGCAACAGUGAUUUGCAACCAAUUUUUGCAGGAAAAAGUGCUGAACCAGAUAUUUCUGAUCUCUAUGAUAAACCUAAUGAAGUUUACUUUUGUGAGGAAAUUCCUAAAUAUGGUGAACAUGAUGAGGCGAUUCAAACAUUAGAUACAAGCAGUCUUUUGUCCAGCAUGUCCAAUUCAUGCACUGAAGAAGUUGAGGAUUGGAAUAUGCAUUCUGAAACUGGAGUUCCUGCAACAAAUGAGUUGGAAAUGAAAUCUGACCCUGCUUUAGUAAAACGGAAAAAGAAAGUGAGAAGAAUUCGAAGUCACAGAAAAUUCUUCAACGAGAAUGAAGAAGUUCUAUUUGAAGGAUUGCUGAAGAAGUGUUCCACUGAUAUCGGUAAAUAUUGGUCUCAGAGAUAUCUAUUAUUCUCCAGAUAUGAUGAUGGUAUAAAAAUGGAUGAGGAAGGAUGGUUUUCAGUUACUCCAGAAGCUUUAGCUAUGCAUCAUGCCCAACGUUGUGGUAGUGGCAUUAUAAUUGACUGUUUUACUGGAGUUGGUGGUAAUGCCAUCCAAUUUGCUCAGAUAAGCAAACAUGUAACUGCCAUUGAUAUUGAUCCAACAAAGAUUGAUUAUGCUCAACAUAAUGCUGCUAUCUACGGAGUAGACGAAAGGAUAGAUUUCAUAAAGGGGGACUUUUUCCAUUUGGCAUCAAGGUUGAAGGCAGAUACAGUCUUUUUGUCACCACCAUGGGGAGGACCUGGUUAUGCAAGAGAAGAGACAUAUGACAUUAUGACAAUGCUUAAGCCACAUGAUGGUGAUGUACUUGUGCAGAUAUUUUCUCUUCAACACUGCUAAGCAAGUUGCUUCCAAGAUUGUCAUGUUUCUCCCAAGAAAUGUUGAUGUCAACCAAUUAGCAGAGUUGUCUCUUUCAGGGACUCCACCAUGGUCGCUAGAGGUGGAGAAAAACUUUGUAAAUGGCAAGUUGAAGGGAAUAACUGCUUACUUCAGUGACACGGCAAGGAGAGAAUGAUAUUCAGUUUUAUCCUUACUUUGCCAGAUAAUGAACAGCUAUGAGGGAUUGAGGGUAUUGCCUUCACAUAACAGUAGUGUAUGAGCUGCCAUGAGAGACUACGCCUUAGCAGAAAGAAACAGCCUCCUUGGAAGAGGCGUGCGGUUGCUUCUAUCUUACUCUCCUCCUGCACUUGAUCUUUUUUAUUGAUAUCGAAGUCAGAGAUUUCAGCACUGUGUUAACAUACAGUCCUGCAAACUAGGAGACUAGAACUACAAAAUUAAUGUCCUCCCCCAAGCAGUUAGGGAAAAGGGGGUUACUGUUAGCAUUAGUCCUUGGCGGCCUGUUAGAGAUUAAAGAAUAGUAGCACAAAGUCAUAUUCCAUUUUAUAAACUCGGAAUCAAUGUGUUUGGUGACCAAGGAUGGUCCUAAUGGGAGGUCUAAUAUAGGGUGACUGGUGAGGAAGGUGGAGAGUAAUGCCUGCCAAAUACAUUAUUGUUAUUAUUCAACGGAUGUAUGAUCCAAUGGAAUGAGCUUGAACUUUGUAAUUGAUAAUUAAUUUCAGUCAGAUAGAACUUUCGGUUAAAUUAAACAACACAAGUGGAGAUUAUGCGAAUACUUAGAGCUGUGGAGCUUCAUUAACCCUUUUUGAGCGGCACAAUUUGAGGCAAUGUAGCUGCCAUUAGUUGAACAUAACAAUAGCUAAAGUUACCCGCCGCACCAAUAAAUCAUCCUAGACCGAAGUGAGGUUGGGUAAAGCGAGUUACGUACUCAACAAUAUGUUGUACCAAAAUGAAAAAGGAAGGCGAAAUCAGACAAAUGGCAUGUAGAGAAGAAUAUUGAGUGAACUCAAUGGAGCUUUGUUGCUGAAGGGACAGAAAGAUUGCCCAAAUUCAAACCCGUGGUUGCCUUUGGCUUUUUUCUCAAGUCUCAAAGAAUGAACAUGUUGUUUGUAUUGCUGGUUUAAAUCAACCUCUCCCAUCAAUUCAAUCAGGAUGACCACCACCGGAUUUGAUGCAAUUGCAUAGUUUGUCCAGUUUCACCAUUAAAUCCGGCAAAAAUGCAGAUAUAUUUGUCUUGAUUGGUAGGCUUUUCCUAGUCUACUAGCGACGAGAGAAUUAUAUUAAUGUAUGAGAUUAAAACACGUAAAUUACAUUUGUUU